CGCCUGUUUAUCAAAAACAUGGCUUUCUGAGAAACAUGGGGGGUCGUGCCUUCCCAGUGGGUAUACGAGCCUAAACGGACGCGGUAAAUCGUGCUAAGGUAGCUAAAUUAUGGCCUAUUAAUUGUAGGUCCUGUGAAUGGUUUGACGAGUCCCCUACUGUCUCGAGGUUGUUUUGGUGAAAUUGAAUUGAACGUGCAAAUGCUUUCAUGGGGAAGAAAGACGAGAAGACCCCGUGAAGUUAGGAAUGCCUGCCAUAACGUAAAAUCCCUAUAACAGAUGUUAUUAGCAAUAUAAAUAUGCAAGGCUUGGGGUUCUUGUGUAGAAUUGUCGUUGGGAAGAAUGGUCAGUGCGUUUUGGCUGGGGCAGCAAAGAGGCAAAACUAGCCCUCUUUAUUCGAAAAACGGAUGCGUUACGACCCACAGGAAUGUAUGUUGUGACUAGCAGAAUGAGUUACUCCGGGGAUAACAGCGUAGUCCGCCUCGAUAGUUCGUAUAGACGGGCGGGUUCGCGACCUCGAUGUUGGCUCUGGGUAUCCUGAGGCUUGCAGGGGGUCUCAAGGGUUGGUUCGUUCGCCCAUUAAAACCCGACGUGAUCUGAGUUCAGACCGG
rnacentral:rRNA from 1 species